rnacentral:rRNA from 1 species
CCUACGGGCGGCAGCAGUAGGGAAUUUUCGUCAAUGGGCGCAAGCCUGAACGAGCAAUGCCGCGUGAACGAGGAAGGUCUUCGGAUCGUAAAGUUCUGUUGAAGGGGAAAAAGAGCGGAGAGAGGAAAUGCUUUCAGAUUGAUAUUACCUUUCGAGGAAGUGACGGCUAACUAUGUGCCAGCAGCCGCGGUAAUACGUAGGUGGCGAGCGUUAUCCGGAUUUAUUGGGUUUAAAGGGUGCGUAGGCGGACUGGAAAGUCAGCGGUAAAAUCGGGGGGCUCAACCUCGUUCCGCCGUUGAAACUGUCGGUCUUGAGUGGGCGAGAAGUAUGCGGAAUGCGUGGUGAAGCGGUGAAAUGCGUAGAUAUCACGCAGAACUCCGAUUGCGAAGGCAGCAUACCGGGGCCCGACUGACGCUGAGGCACGAAAGCGUGGGUAUCGAACAGGAUUAGAUACCCGGGUAGUC